rnacentral:rRNA from 1 species
GAUGAACGCCGGCGGCGUGCCUAAUACAUGCAAGUCGAGCGAACGGACGAGAAGCUUGCUUCUCUGAUGUUAGCGGCGGACGGGUGAGUAACACGUGGAUAACCUACCUAUAAGACUGGGAUAACUUCGGGAAACCGGAGCUAAUACCGGAUAAUAUUUUGAACCGCAUGGUUCAAAAGUGAAAGACGGUCUUGCCGUCACUUAUAGAUGGAUCCGCGCUGCAUUAGCUAGUUGGUAAGGUAACGGCUUACCAAGGCAACGAUGCAUAGCCGACCUGAGAGGGUGAUCGGCCACACUGGAACUGAGACACGGUCCAGACUCCUACGGGAGGCAGCAGUAGGGAAUCUUCCGCAAUGGGCGAAAGCCUGACGGAGCAACGCCGCGUGAGUGAUGAAGGUCUUCGGAUCGUAAAACUCUGUUAUUAGGGAAGAACAUAUGUGUAAGUAACUGUGCACAUCUUGACGGUACCUAAUCAGAAAGCCACGGCUAACUACGUG